GAUCCUGGCUCAGGAUGAACGUUAGCGGCAGGCUUAACACAUGCAAGUCGAGGGGCAGCGGGGUGUAGCAAUACACUGCCGGCGACCGGCGCACGGGUGCGUAACGCGUAUGCAACCUACCCAUAACAGGGGCAUAACACUGAGAAAUUGGUACUAAUUCCCCAUAACAUUCGAAGAGGCAUCUCUUUGGGUUGAAAACUCCGGUGGUUAUGGAUGGGCAUGCGUUGUAUUAGCUAGUUGGUGAGG
rnacentral:rRNA from 1 species